rnacentral:lncRNA from 1 species
AAUGGCACAAGAAAACAGGGGCUUCAACUUGUAGGAAUAAAAAUAUAUUGCUGGCGGGACAAAAAUUGACAAUAACGGCUACAAUGCGAAUUAAAAAAAAAUCAAAAUCUAUAAUUACAAGCUAAGUAAGAGAAGAAACUCAUAAUCACAAGCUUACCUCAAAAGAUGAAGGGAGAAGACGAUGAAGAAGAAGAUGGCCCGUGUUUUACGCAGUUCGCCGGCAACCAGUUAGGCUUACGAUGGUGGCUAGUAACACGGAGUCCAGCGAAUAGUUUUAAAUUUAAAAUUCUAAAAUAGUAAUAUACCGAACGGCUCUUUAC